rnacentral:rRNA from 1 species
CUCAGGACGAACGCUGGCGGCACGCUUAACACAUGCAAGUCGAACGGAGAUAAUUGAGUUACUUAGAUUAUCUUAGUGGCGGACGGGUGAGUAACACGUGAGCAACCUACCUCAGAGAGAGGGAUAGCUUCUGGAAACGGAUGGUAAUACCUCAUAACAUAACUGAACCGCAUGAUUUAGUUAUCAAAGAUUUAUCACUCUGAGAUGGGCUCGCGUCUGAUUAGAUAGUUGGUGAGGUAACGGCUCACCAAGUCGACGAUCAGUAGCCGGACUGAGAGGUUGAACGGCCACAUUGGGACUGAGAUACGGCCCAGACUCCUACGGGAGGCAGCAGUGGGGAAUAUUGCACAAUGGGGGAAACCCUGAUGCAGCGAUGCCGCGUGGAGGAAGAAGGUUUUCGGAUUGUAAACUCCUGUCUUAAAGGACGAUAAUGACGGUACUUUAGGAGGAAGCUCCGGCUAACUACGUGCCAGCCGCCGC